rnacentral:rRNA from 1 species
UACAGAGGUCCCAAGCGUUGUUCGGAUUCACUGGGCGUAAAGGGUGCGUAGGUGGUGAGGUAAGUCGGAUGUGAAAUCUCCGAGCUCAACUCGGAAAUGGCAUUGGAAACUACCUUGCUCGAGGGUUGGAGGGGGGACUGGGAAUGCUUGGUGUAGCAGUGAAAUGCGUAGAUAUCAAGCGGAACACCAGUGGCGAAGGCGAGUCCCUGGACAACUCCUGACACUGAGGCACGAAAGCUAGGGGAGCAAACAGG